rnacentral:hammerhead_ribozyme from 1 species
AUCCAGCUGACGAGUCCCAAAUAGGACGAAACGGCCUUCCUGGGU